CAGGUCUCCUAACUACCUGUCUAUCAGAGGGGUUCUGAGGAUUAAUCAGUUAACAUUGCACAGCACUUUGAGGAUGCCAAGUGCUAUUUGCACCCGAGAGCCCCAGCCAGGGGUCAGGCCUACAUUGUGCUAGAUGCUGUACAAAUCCAGAACAAAACUACUGCACCUGCUGCUCCUGAGAUUACAUCUCAAGCUCACAUACUGCAGGACUGGGAGGAAGUUGUGUACUGUGGCCUGAACAUUGGAAGUGUAGGGUUGAGAGCAACCGUGAUUCAGGAUCGGCGAAAAUCAGACGUCAUAUUUAGGCAUCUAAAUAUGGAGCUUCAGGCACCGAAGUUUGAAGAUGUUGAUCUAAGUGACUUGUCCAAGAUCACCCACAAAAAUCCAUAGCAGAAUGAAGAACAGAACCCAGGAGCCCUGACCUCUAUAGCCCUCAGCUACAGCUUUUAUUCCUGUGAAUAGUUCUU